rnacentral:rRNA from 1 species
CAAACUGGAGAUGGCGACCGGCGCACGGGUGAGUAACACGUAUCCAACCUGCCGAUAACUCGGGGAUAGCCUUUCGAAAGAAAGAUUAAUACCCGAUGGCAUAAUAGAACCGCAUGGUUGAUUAUUAAAGAUUUCGGUUAUCGAUGGGGAUGCGUUCCAUUAGGCAGUUGGUGGGGUAACGGCCCACCAAACCUUCGAUGGAUAGGGGUUCUGAGAGGAAGGUCCCCCACAUUGGAACUGAGACACGGUCCAAACUCCUACGGGAGGCAGCAUG